rnacentral:misc_RNA from 1 species
ACGAGCUGUGUAAUAACACUCGAAAACCAUCGCGAACUUACCUGUGGGAUGUAUCGUUGCCUCGGUGGGCGGCCCCAGGGGGGGCCCUCGGCCCUACGGUGCCCGCCGGAGCGCACAAAACUCUUUGUUAUUUUAGUAUCUUCUGAGGAACAAGCAAAUAAGUUA